UGCCAGCUGGAAUAAACACACGCUGAGAAAUAGCUCUGUGCCUGCCUACUUUAUGGGUUGGAUAUUAACCGAUGGAUAACGGAGACAUAUAUAAUAGUCUCCUUCUUGUUGUGUGUGCAGUUGCGCCCUGAGCUCCAAAAGCCGUGGAUGUUUUAACAUGACUGGGCCGGCACGCUAUUUAUAUGGAGGAAAAGCGGUCAUGACGACAGACUGUCCUUACUCAGGUCCGGCUGGAAAUCGGGAAAAAUCCGGAAGAAUGGUUGUCCUGGGAGAUUUUUGGGAGAGGCACUGAAAUUCGGGAGUCUCCUGGAAAAUUCGGGAGUGUUGGCAACUGGGCAACAGGCUGCUCAACUGUCUGGAGUUGCGCUUUAAGGUGGUCAGGUCUCUCAACAUCAUCACAGACAGUUGCAUGAACCAGCACAACCGCGUCUUCUCCUUCCACCUUCCAGCUGCAGCUCAAACUGGUCUGGAGCCUCAGAGACGUCUGGUUUCACCUCAAGAGAACU